GUCAGUAUGGUAUAAGUGGUUUGAGUGUUAGAUUGUGACUUUGGAGAUCAGGGUUCAAAUCCCUGCUUUGUAA